CCUACGGGGGGCAGCAGUCGAGAAUCAUUCACAAUGGGGGAAACCCUGAUGGUGCGACGCCGCGUGGGGGAAUGAAGGUCUUCGGAUUGUAAACCCCUGUCAUGUGGGAGCAAAUUAAAAAGAUAGUACCACAAGAGGAAGAGACGGCUAACGCUGUGCCAGCAGCCGCGGGAAUACAGAGGUCUCAAGCGUUGUUCGGAAUCACUGGGCGUAAAGCGUGCGUAGGCUGUUUCGUAAGUCGUGUGUGAAAGGCGCGGGCUCAACCCGCGGACGGCACAUGAUACUGCGAGACUAGAGUACUGGAGGGGGAACCGGAAUUCUCGGUGUAGCCGUGAAAUGCGUAGAUAUCGAGAGGAACACUCGUGGCGAAGGCGGGUUCCUGGACAUUAACUGACGCUGAGGCACGAAGGCCAGGGGAGCGAAAGGGAUUAGAUACCCCAGUAGUC
rnacentral:rRNA from 1 species